rnacentral:ribozyme from 14 species
GUUGUUGUUUUUGGUUUUUGUUGUUGUUUUUGUUUUUUGUUGUUUUUCCCAGCGGUGCCCUGUAACACACAGGAAGACACUGCAGCUGCAAAGAAAAUCGAAUAAAA